rnacentral:tRNA from 1 species
UGGCUCAGUGGUAGAGUGCUUGCCUUGCAUGCAUGAGGUCCUGGGUUCAAUUCCUUA